UACGGGGGGGGGCAAGCGUUGUUCGGAAUUACUGGGCGUAAAGGGCUCGUAGGCGGCCAACUAAGUCAGACGUGAAAUCCCUCGGCUUAACCGGGGAACUGCAUCUGAUACUGGAUGGCUUGAGAUUGGGAGAGGGAUGCGGAAUUCCAGGUGUAGCGGUGAAAUGCGUAGAUAUCUGGAGGAAUACCGGUGGCGAAGGCGGCAUCCUGGACCGGCAUUGACGCUGAGGAGCGAAAGCCAGGGGAGCAAACGGG
rnacentral:rRNA from 1 species